rnacentral:sRNA from 1 species
AUCUAAUGCAAAGGUUAUUGGAUCUGAU